AAAGGAGAGGAAGAGGAGGGAUGAGGAAGGAGGUCACUCAGCUCCGGGCUGAGCUCACGGCCGGCAGUCAGACAUGCAGAGAAGGUUUUCUCCAUUUCCUGCCUUGUCUGGUCAGCGCUGCAGCCCCACAUGAUGGCAUUUCUAGCCAAAACCUUAAGCCAAAUGCUGUUUCCAAGGCAAAUUCUUUUGAUUUUGCAACAUGGGAAGGUGGGGGUGAGAUCUCCGUAGCUUUCCAGGAUGCAUUAGGAAAAUUGCAGUCAAAAUGGCAGUUCCCCUUCCCUUCACAUAAGCUGUUUUGGCCAAAAAAAAAAGUCAUGUUAAAAGCCCCUGAUACGAGUCCCAGGUACAGGCAAUGAAACUCCACCAUUUUAUUUGCUACUCAGAGGAAAAAUGGAAGUGGAAAAAGGAAAAAGGGGACAAACAGACAGUGAGACUGUCAGCUUGAGAAUUAAAUCCCUUAAAAAAUGCUUCUCACAUGGACACACGUCUGUAGGGGCGGCAGGGACCAGGCUUCCAUCUCCGGCAUCCCCAGAUGUGGGGUUUCUAAUACACUUUCUCCCUUUCCUGCUCAGACCUGAUGGUCCCCAGGCUGGCUUGGAGGGCACCAGGACACCUCAGGAUCGUAUCCUGCUGGGGGACGAGCUCCAAGAGGAGGAGGACUUUGCACCCUCCAGACCUGGGCUGUUUCAGGGAUGGUGCAGGAUGAGUGAGCAGCCCAGCUACACCAGGCUGCGAUGCGACCCAGGAGGAGAGCUGCAGCUGGUGAAACCACCCCGUGUGUGUGUCCCCCCCCCGCCCCGGUUCCUGUUUGGCAGGAUGGAGCCCUUCUGUGCCAGGGCAGCGAGGAGCUCAGCUGGGUGCUUAAUAUGCUGGCGGCAUCCCUGCCAGCCAGGGGAGCGGGACGCCUUCUCCCUUCCGCCUGCCGGGAGAGCGAAACUCCCCCCGGAGGAGGUCUGUCCUCCUGCCAAGGCUCCCCCUGCUCCCUUCCGCUCGUCCUCCUCCUCUCCACCUGCGGGGACAAGGAUGGGAGGGCGGGUGGCUUUGCUGGGACAGAUGGUGCUGGGCAAGGUGCUCCAAGCAUCCUUUCGCCUCCUCCCCGUGCGGGAUGGCCUCUGGAUAUAAAAUGUGACAAUGCUGCCCCGCUGGGACACAUAGUACCUAGAUUAGCUGUGUUCAGCCAGGCAGAGGCUGAAAUCCUCCUUCCAGCCUCGCAGCACCACCCAGACCCGGCUCACCCUGGGAUGUUAGGGAGCUGGGAGCACGGGGCUGGCGGGGAUGACUGCUGCGGGGGGGGAUAUGGGAUGUGUGGGGAUGGGGGACAGAGCCUGUUUGCUCCCACUCGGUAUGUGCCAUCCCAUCCCAUCGCCUUUAUCGGCUCUGGCAGCUGCUGAGAGCCUCCUGGCAUUUGCCAGGAGCUGCACUGGGAUCACUGGCUCUUCCCUUCUGGUGAGGUGGCUUUCUGGGGGCAGGGAGAGGAGGUGGAAAAGUACUGAAUCUGGCCAUUUCCUCCUUCGCUGCCAUCCCCUGGCUUGUAGAGGUUUCUCCUGGGCUUCUCCCAAGGGGCUUGUUUGCCUUGGAAGUUGUUCUAAGGUUCGGUGGUGCUUGGUGGGCAGAAACACAGCAGAGCCCAGCCGGGAGCAGAGGGCAGGGCAUGGGCACAUGGGAGGUGGCAUUAAGGAGAACCCAACCCCAGACCAAGGCCCUCUCAGAUCAUUUCCCCAGGCCCCAAAAUACCUAAGUUUCCAAGUCUGCAUGCAGUGAGCCAGGCUCAGAGAAUGCCAUGCUUGCCAGGAGCCAGCAGACAGUUGGAGCUGCCGGUGUUGUGUUUGGAGGGUGAAGGAGCAUGAAAGAGUCUGAGCAAACAAGCCUGCAGCGCUGUCUCAUGCCAGAGAUAGGAAAAUAAGUUUAUUUGAAAAACAACAUCCUCCUGGAUUCGGAGGCUGUGCGCAGAGGACAUUGCAGUGUCUGUGAGACCCUGGCUGCUUUGCAAGGACACAGUCUUUCCUGAAUGUCUGGUGGCCAAAAAUCCUGAAAUAACAGCUCAGGAGCCCUGCACGCAGCUUCGCCCCAGCCCACAGAGCAAGUGGCUGCUGCAGGACUCCCUCCUUGCCACGGUCCUGCCGUCCAAGAGGAUGCUACCUGCCAACAGGUACCAGCAGGAGCCAGUGCUUUCUAAGACACUGGAGACCUGCACACCCUGGGCACAGAGAGGGCUGCUGAACAUGCCGGGCAGAAGGCACACGGGGCUGUCAGCGGCACGCAAGGGCUAACACGGCUGGGGUGUUGGCACAGGAGCUGGGCUGCUCCCUGGGAGCUGUCACCACAAUGAGCUUGAAGCUGUUUGCAGCAGCUGUGGAGCAAUAGUGCUGCUCUGGCUGGGCUACUGAGGGGGUGCAGGGGGAGGUCUCGCUGUACCCAAACCAAACUCCAGCUAAAAUUGAGAGAAGCCCCCUCAGCACUUAAAGGCCGCCACCGGCUCGCCCCAGGACAGCAGAUGUGCCCUGGGUGCUGGUGGGCAAAGCUCCCUGCCCGGGGCACACACCGCAGCGAGCUGACCCCACAGCCCGGACAACACUUGACCCCACUUGCAUCCUAAGUGGGGACUUCGGCUCCCACUUGCUGUGUAAACACGGCCUAGUGGCUCUUAUUAAUGCCUCUCCAUGGUCCCUUUUGUCUCCUCCAGCCCAGCCUGGGUGCCUUGGCGGGUGGAGGCGGGCAAGGGCCGGGCAGCGCAGCCUCCGGAGGAGGCUCCUUGGAUGGAGCAGCGUGGCCCAUGUGGCACUGGCCCUGGCCAGGGUUGCAUAAGCCCCACGGAUGCCACGUUAGCGUGGGGAGGAGCCUCUGCCUGGCCCCUCUGCCAGCUCCUCCCCGAGGCUGCUGCGAGGCACAGGACAAUCCCGGCGGCCUCCGCUGCUGCCCGGCCUCCCACCAUGGUCAGAAGUGGGCAACGGCGGGGCAAAAACCCUCCCAUGUCUCGCUGUCAGGGUGGUGACACAAAUUGUGGCCACCACAGGGACACAAGGCGAGGGCUGUGAGCCCACCACCCAGCCCUGGGCUCGCUGUGCAAGCAGGACCCUCUGAGCUUUACCUCGCCAACUGAUUUCGGUUGGAAAUCUGGUCUGAAAGAUGAGUUGUGUGCGCCAGAACCCAGAAAGCACCCCGCAGGCCCCUGCCUGCAUGGCACGGCAGCCUGUGUGAGGGCCCAGGGGACUGGGACAGCCAGCAAUGGCUGGGCAGGCGCCACCGCUGUCCCUGCCACCUGCGGGGUCCCCCUGCACUCACAUAGGGUGUUUGGGGUCACAGAGCCGAGGUGGGUUUGGCUGGGAGAGAAAUUCCCUUCAGCUCAUGCACACACUUGCAAACAGGACAAAUUCUGCCCGCCACAUAUUUCUGUGCAGCCACUGAAGACAUCUGCACCCUGUUACCCCAUGGACCUGGCAAAGAGCUGCUGUGAUGGCACUUCUAAGUACACCAGGUCUUUACCGAACUUACUAAUAAAGUGGUAAGAGCCCUCGUACCAGUGGAGCUGUGCGCUGGCUCGAAGCUGGCCCAGUUUGCCCAGGCUGCAAACUGCACCCAGAAUGGGAAGCAGUGCAGUCAGUACCAGGAGUGCAUGGAUGAGACGGGGGCUGCAAGCACGGGGAGCCCCUGCAGACCGCAGUCAGAAGGGGAAAUUAUAACGCGUUUUGCUGCCCUGCCUGUGCUGCUGCUUUUGUUCCCACUGGCCGUGGGGCAGUGCCAAAAGGAGCCGGGAUGCUCGUGUGCCAGGUGCAAGCGGGUCCCUCUGGCUCCCGGGGCAGACCGAAAGCUGAUCUCCCACCGAGGCACAGCUCCACAAAGCGGAGAGCAAAAAACCUUCUGCUAAAUACGCUGCAAAAAUGCAAACCAUCUUCAAAGCAUUCCCAGGACUCGCCCUGCCACAGCCGCUCCAGCGAUAACAGCCCCGACAUCCAUCCGAGCAGAGGACCCAGAAAGGGUUUCCAUGGGAGCCGACAUUCCUCCGGGGCUGAGUCAUGGAAGAGCAGAGGGGAAGGAGGAGCUUGCAAAAAGUUUGAAAAGUUUAUUUCUGCUCUUCCCCCUCCCGUCAACACCCGCAUCCCUGCUCCUGCCUAUGUGGCAGACAAUAGCCUGGCUUUUAACAGCUGCGCGGGGCGCGACAGCCUUUUAUUUCCACUGAAAAACUUCCCUGGCCCACCCUCCCAAACCGCUGCGAUUUAUUUUUGUCCCUGGGGUGGGGAAGAAGAAUUUUUGGGCUCUUUCAUGGUGGCAGUGAUCGAGUACCCGGAGUCCUGGCGACCUUCCCGGUGCCCCCGAUUUCCCUCCAAUGUGAAAGUGUUGCCUCGGUGGGAGCCGAGCCCCCAGCCUGCGAGGUUUCCUUCCGUCGGCCGGACAGAAGAGCAGAGAUUUCUUAUGGGGGGGGACACAAAGAGCAGGGCUAGGCUGGCAGCACGUCACCGGCACAGCAAAGCCAGCUGCUGCCUUUAAAGGAAGAGAGCCCACGGCUCCUCUGCCUGGCUCUGCAGCUGUGUCCAACUGAUCCCAUGUUAUUGCACUUUUUAAAAAAAAAAAAAAAAAAAAGCAAAAAAAAAGAGAAAAGCUUUGUUCCUCCUCUCCUGUCUCUCUCUCCACCAGCUAUCAGCUGGAGUUAAACAAACCGGGGAGCGGGACCUGAAAUGGGUUCGGCCUGCUUGGAACAAAAAGCCGAGUGUCUUUUUUUUUCCUCUUUUCGCAGGAGAAAUGAGAGCGGCUGCGCUGAGAUAAAGCUGACAACCCUUUUGUUCUUCCCCUAGGUAUUCUGGAGGACGCAGAGGAAGGGAGAAGCCUUUGCUCCUCUCUCCUAACGCUGUUGCCCUCUGGGACUGCCUUGCGGGAAGGGAGAGGAAAGAAUGAUCCCCGUUUUCCAGAGUGCGGAGAGGGAUGACGUCUGAAAUAGCUCCCGGUGGGCAGGGAAGUGCUUGGCUUGGAGAAAAGCUCCUCAGCACUCUGGUCUCAGCCGUGGUUAUCGUCCAGCAGAUCUGAGCAGCCUGGGCUGACUGAGCAAAACCCGUGUCCUGGAACUGUGCUGGUUGAACCCCCUGGUCCCCGCAGAUAUCACCUCGCAUUUUGACCUUGCAGACUAUAACCCAGUUGGAGCAGCCGCCUGGCCAGAGGCAGCCAAGCAGCAAAAGCCAGCUGGAGGUGGCUUUUCCCAUCUGCUCCCCUUUGUGCUCAGGAUGAGCCCCCAAAAUCAAAAGCAGCAGCCAAAAAGCAAGGUUGUCAAAUUGCUGGAAUCGGGGACCCCCCCGGGUGGGUUGGUGACCUGCCACCCAUCCGUGGUGAGCCAGGGUGACCCUCCAGCCAUGUCACACAGCCAGGGGAGGUGAGGGAGCUCUCCAGGGGUGGCUGGAAGGACAGUGACUUAGGGACAAAUAGUCUGGGCGCCAGCCGGGUGAAGGACCCCCAUAAUAAAAUGCAAUAUCAC